rnacentral:lncRNA from 10 species
AUUUUUUUUUAAAACCAGGCUAAGAUAGAGGAGCAAAAAUAUAAAAAGCACUUAGGUCCUUGACAUCACUGAGUUAUCGAAUUGUCCCUGGGACUGCCUAGCUCUGGACUUAUUUGAAGACAUCAUAAACAUUUUUACUACUUAAGCCACUUUGGGUUGGUUUUUUUGUUACCUGCAGCUGAGAGCAUGCUAACUGAUACAGGGUCUUUGUCUUCUGUCUCUACCUUCCUUUAGCCCUAUGGGUCUCAUGUUUAGACACAUUCCUUCCCCAGAGCACCAGUUGUUUGGAAGUCAAGAUCUUUUGGAAACUACCUGUAUUAACUUAUCAUCACUGCCUGCUAAAUAAGAUUCUCUCUGGUCACUCCUUACUUCUUCAUUUCAGGAGCGAAAUUGGUAUCUGGUGGGGUGAAAGCAGAACCUCGGCCUUCAUGCAACUCUGUGUUUGGGAAAAAGAAGGAAGGAGGGAGAGAAGGAAACUCUGCCUGUAUUCAAACCAUUUCAAGAAACAUGGUUGAACUAAAGAGAGAAGCAAUUUAAAGUGGGUGUUUUCACACGCAGAGCUGGAAGUUCUAGCAUUGGAGCCCUAUGGGUCUGAAGUUCAGCCAUAUUCCUUCCCCAGAGCCCUAGUUGCCUUGGAAGUCAAGAUCUUUUAGAAGCCACCUGCAUCAACUUUUCACCACUGUCCUAAAUCAGAAACUUCGUGGUCACUUCCCCACUCCUCACCUGCUGCCUCCAAGGAUCUCCUCAGGAAUAAAUUACUUGCAUUUAAAUCCUUGUCUCAGAGUUGGCUUCUGGAGGAACUCAGAUGAAGAUGGCAGACUUAUCACUUUUCCUUUUGUCUAACUAAAAGGCUUCAAAUAGAAAUCAAUUAUUCAACUGAUUAUGAAUCCAAAAAUUUCUGGCAUAUUUGAAAGAGCAGAUCAUCCCGACUUUUAGUCCUCAAGAUAUCAAAAAUAUUGCAUCUCCAUCUAGCACCUCCCCCCCCAUUACACACCUGCUUUGUGCUAGGCACUUUACAUGUGCAACAGGAUGAUGUUAGGGGUGCUCUGAGUCUCUUGGCCUAAGUUCAAAGGUCAUUCAGCAGUUGGGGUCAGCCACCUUCCUUCACGGCUCGCUGUGGAGCCAUUUCAGCAGAAUGGCAGCCCAUCCUUAUGCCCAUUCUACCGUGGGCGUCAAGGAGAAGGGGAAAGAGAGCACGUCUUGCUUCUCCUGCUCCCCCUACCCAUUGUCCCAGCUCCAAGCCACUAGAAUCAUGAGUCUGGCUUGAACUGGGUGACAUGGGGCCAGGGGAUCUAAAAGAACUUUGAAUCAGAUCUGAGAAUGAAGUUUUUUCCAAGGAAAUUUAUAUUGAACUAUAAAACACAUACAGAAAAGUAUAUGUGUGUACAUGCACACAGAUAUAUCAUAAGUGCACGGCUCAGUGAAUUUCCCCAGACUAAACAUGCUCACAUAACCUGCACCCAGAUCAAGAUACAGAACUCUCCCAGCCCCUCAGAAAGCUACCUAGUAACCCUCCUAGUCACUACCCUUUGCCAAGGGUGACCACUAUCCUGCUAACACCCUGGAUUGCUUUUGCCUGUUUUUGAACUUCACAUAAAUGGAAUCAUGCCGUGCAUGCUUUUUGGUGUCUGUCUUCGUUUGUUCGACAUCAUGACCAUGAGACUGGGUCUCGUUGUGCUUCACUGGUUGAGACUGACAUUCUAAUUGGAGGAGAUUUGGGUUUUAAGACCUGAAAUAGACAGCUUUGGUAACCAAAGAGUCAGUCAGGCAUGCUAUGGAAUUGUUGAGAGGCUGGUUGAGGAAGCCCAUUCUUUAAUAGCUCCGU